GGCCGAUACUUUAUUCGACCCGGAUAAAACCGACCAAGGUUUGUGUCUGUCCUCAAUCUCUCCGAGCAGCCGACGACGUCGUUCCGUUAUUCGCAGCUAUCGUAAUCGUUAGUAAAAAAACAACUUAACCUAGCAAAACAUCCAAAGCGCUGAGGAAGAAGCUUCCAUCUCUCGAUUGUAGUUGUAGAGGGUAGCAUUGAGCAAUCGAACAAUGGAGGGCAGAGAUAAUGAGGAAAAAGGGCCCGAAGCGGAAGAAGGUAGGAACUACUGCAGAGGACUGUCGAAGAGCGCACAGAAGAAGCUGUUAAAGCAGCAGAAAUGGGAAGCGAAGAAGGCAGAGAAGAAAGCUCUGGAAAAAGAGCAGAAGAAGAGAGAGGGGGAGCGGAAGCGGAAGGAAUGGGAGGAGAGAUUGGCGAGCGUUAGCGAAGAGGAGAGGGGGAAGCUGAUAGAGUCGAGGAAGAGUUUAAGGAAGGAGAGGAUGGAGCAGAGGUCAGAGGAGAGAGAGAGAAACACAGAGAGACUGAGCAGAGCCAAAGAGUGCGGACAGAAGAUUGUGAUCGAUCUCGAAUUCUCUCACCUCAUGACCCCAGCCGAGAUCAACAGCCUCGUUCAACAGAUUAUGUAUUGUUACGCGGUGAAUAAAAGAUGCAGGGAGCCGGGUCAUCUAUGGUUGACGGGGUGCAAGGGAGAGAUGGGUACGCAACUGAAGAGGCUCCCGGGGUUUGAUAAUUGGAUUAUAGAGAAGGAAGAUCGAUCGUACAUGGAAGCUUUGGAGGAUGAAAAGCAAAAUCUGGUAUAUCUGACAGCUGAUUCAGAAAAUGUGGUUGAUGAUCUUGAUUCAAGCAAGAUAUACAUUGUUGGGGGGCUGGUGGAUCGGAAUCGGUGGAAAGGGAUCACCAUGAAGAAAGCAGAGGAGCAGGGCAUUCAAACGGCAAAGCUUCCCAUAGCCAACUACUUAAACAUGUCCUCUUCCCAGGUGCUGACUGUGAAUCAAGUGAUAGAGAUUCUGCUCAAGUUUUUGGAAACAAAGAAUUGGAAGGACUCUUUCUUCCAAGUGAUUCCUCAAAGAAAAAGAUGCCAAGCGGAUUCAGAGCAAUCUCAACAAGUGAAAGGGGGAGAAAAUGGAAUUGACAGUGAAGAGAAAAAUGAUCAAUUUGAAAGCAAAAAACAGUGUGCUCAAGACUCAACAAGUCAAGCCCCUUCCCAUGAUUAAUUAGAGCAUUGUGACUGUGCAUUUUUGAAUGAAUGGAAAAGUUGUCUAAAUUUGAUAUAUCAAUAUUCAUCAUGGUGUACUGGUGUACUGGUGUGUUUGAAUUUUUGUAUCCAACUUGUUUUGCUUGAGGGAAUCAAAUUGUGGGGUUCUAAAAUGUGAACCUUAUUUGGUAAAGGAUGAAUUUUAAUUCUUUCAUGCAAAAUCGUAAACAGUGUGUAGUUAUUAUUAUUUUUAUUUGUGAUAAGACGUCUAUGUAGAUUGAAGGUUAUUUCAAGCACUUUGACUUCAGUGAGGAGCAGGGAAUCCGAUGGAUAGAAUAGAUACAAAGGCUUGUUUGGAAGCUGGGCAAUUGAGGGAGAAGCAUCCAAAUUAUGAACCAGUAACAAUUUCACUCCAUCAAUCAUGUUUACUUCCUAUGCAUUCAGUGGGAUGUACCUGUUCUAAUUUGAGCUUUCAUGCAUGUGCUUGUGGAGAAGUAUGCAAGAUAAAUACCAUGCCCCUGCUAAUACGCCUCUUGGAGAACUUGUUGAUUUUAUUCAGUUACAGAGCGGGCUCAGCAUAAAGAAGCCUAUAUUUGUCUUUUUCAAGAACACUAUAACCCAGACUGGUGAGUUGCUACUCAAUUAGAUUUAAGCAAGAUAUGCAUUGUUGACGACUGGUGGAUCGGAAUCGGUGGAAAGGGAUCACCAUGAAGAAAGAAAGCAGACGGGCAGGGCAUCCAAAAGGCAAAACUUAUCAUAGCCAACUACUUGAACACUGUUUGACGGAGGUUGAGUUACCAUUGUUGUUGUUUUGGUUUUGGUGGGUUAGGCUGAUUCAGAGGGACCUCCAAAAGUAAAAGGGGAAGAAAGUGAAAGAGAGGGUGAAGAGAAAAUGCCUCUUGGGGAAUUUGUUGAUUUUAUACUUCAAGAACACUAAACCUCCCGCUGGUGUGUUGGAACUCAUUUCUAUUUUAGGCAUACGACCUUGUUCCCAAAGUUGUGGUUGUAUAAUUCUUUUAAUGUCACAGGUGCCAGGAUAUAAAACUACUACAAGGACGACUAUGCAGGUCAAAACCUACUUUUUCUAAAUACUAUUUCUGAUAAGAAGAGUCUCAGAGCUCCCAGAGUUUGCACUUUUUCUAAUGCUACUUAAGGGCAUUCUUGCCCUUCAUUGGAUCCACACAGUUUUUCUUCUCCACUGUAGGUCAUGUGAAGAAAUCCAUCUUCACCCUUAUUUUCCUCAUCAAGGCACCUGUAAGUUAACAUUGGAAGAAUUAUUACAACCACAACUUUGUGAACAACAUAUUAUGCCUAAAAAAAAAAUUGCAACUCACCAGUGGGGGGUUCAGUGUUCUUGGAAAACACAAAUAUAGGCUUCUUUAUGCUGAGCUCGAUCUGUAACCGAACAAAAUCAACAAAUUUUCCAAGAGGCAUCUCACCAUGGACAUGGAAUCUGCCGUCAGAAAAAUAGGAUGGGCAAUAAAACUAUGUAAGAACACAUUCAUUUAAUACCAGGCUAUGAACACGAAUGAACUUUGAGUUUGCCUUUCUAGUAAUAAGUAGGUCUUCCUUUAUGUAUGCA